AGGACAAACGCUGGCGGCGUGCAUAACACAUGCAAGUCGAACGAGGGUAGCGAUACUCGAGUGGCGGACGGGUGAGGAACACGUGGAUGACCGACCUUUUACUGGGGAAUACCCGUGGGAAACCACGGCUAAUACCGCAUACGUUCGAGAGAAGAAAGCCUUCGGGCGGUAAGAGACGGGUCUGCGGUCGAUUAGCUAGUUGGUGCGGUAACGGCGUACCAAGGCGACGAUCGAUAGCUGGUCUGAGAGGAUGAUCAGCCACAUUGGGAUUGAGAACGGCCCAAAUCCCUACGGGGAGCAGCAGUGAGGAAUAUUCGGCAAUGGGCGCAAGCCUGACCGAGCGACGCCGCGUGGGGGAUGACGCAUUUCGGUGUGUAAACCCCUUUUCUGUGGGACGAGAAUGGACGGUACCACAGGAAUAAGUCUCGGCUAACUACGUGCCAGCAGCCGC
rnacentral:rRNA from 1 species